CUAAAAAUAAAACCAGAGCCGCCACCGCUCUUCUUCUUCUUGGCCUUUUUUCUGUUCCGCCACUUUCUUCUUCGCGAGAGAGGAGGACAGAGAGGCCUGCAGCGAUGGGUAAGAGAGCGAAGAGUUCAAGGAAGGGAAAGAAAGAAUGGAGGGCCAACAUAAGCACUGAAGACAUUGAAGAUUAUUUUGAGAAAACCACCAAAGACGCUCUUUCCGGUGGUUCUUUGGCUGAUGUGCCCAGUGAUUCUCUCUUCUUCCUUGAUAAAUCCAGAGAUCUUUCUGUUAAGCGGAAGAUUGAGAAAAACAGAGAAAAAGUACUGCGAUGUGAUAGUGUUUUGCAGAGAAACCCUUUUAUCAAAGCUAUUCCGUCCUCUACACAGAAUAAGAAAAAGUCAAAUAGAAAGGGUAAAGCUGUACCAACACCAGUAGAUGAAGAUGUUGCGCAGGGCAGUCUGAAGGAUGAAAAUACACAUGAUUCUGGUGUUCUUGACUUGUGGGAAGAGAAAGGAGGAGUCGAGGCCAAAAUAACAAAGAAGCCCAAGACUUGCAUUAUUCCUGCUGUUGAGGUUGAACAUCCUGGAUGUUCUUUCAAUCCUCAUCCCGAGAGCCAUCAGGAUGCUUUAGCUCGUGCUGUUGCAGAUGAAAUGCAGAAAAUUUACCAACAUGAAUUGGGGCCUCAGCCGAUCCCUUUAGUUGUCCCUGGUGAAGCUAUUGAUGAAGAAUAUAAAUAUUUCCUUGAGGCAGAUGCGGAUGAUGGAACUGAUGAUGAUGAGCAAAAUGAAAAUCAGGAUGAUGACGGAGAUGUUGAUGCAGAAAAGAGUUCUCAGAAAACCAAAAGGGUGACACGGGUGGAGUUCAACCGGAGGGCUAGACGGAAAGAACAGUUGAGAAUUGAAGCAGAAGCCAGAAAAGUGAAGGGACUUUCAAAAGACAUAGACAGUUUAUCAGAAAUAAUGCAAGAAAUAGCGAAAGAGGAUGAAGAGAAACACAACAGACAUCUUCGGCGGAUUGUUGCUAAGCAGGAAAGAUUGAAAGCUCGUCCAUCUCGCUUGGGAAAGUACAAAUUCGAGCCUUCUCCACUCCAAGUUCUAUUAACUGAAGAGAAAACUGGUUCACUUCGGCAGUUGAAGGUGCUCGCUUCUGGAAAUAGGGCUGCUGUACGCUAGUCAGAGAUCGUUACAAGAGCCUAGAGAAAAGAGGCCUGAUUAUCCCAACAAGGAAGGGUAGCAGGAGGUAGAAUGGAGGUGGGAUAUUUAGAAUCGAGAGCGAUGAGAAAGUGAAGCUGUGCUUCAUUGUUUUGCAGUCGAGAUCUUUCUAUCGUUUGAGUAGCCGGAGAAAUCACCAGUUGGUUUAGAAACAAAUAGGAAUUUUAUCUCUCAGUCACAUCAAAUAUUUCUUUUAUUUGUUUUAAUGUUUGCGAGACUGAUAUAUGUAUGCUUUACUUGGUUAUUCGUAUGAUUGAAUGAUAAAAACGAGAUCUUUGGAGUUUA